rnacentral:rRNA from 1 species
UACGUAGGCAGCGAGCGUUGUUCGGAAUUACUGGGCGUAAAGAGUGUGUAGGCGGUGCUCCCAGUCUGUUGUGAAAUCUCCCGGCUUAACUGGGAGGGUGCAGCGGAAACUAGAGUGCUAGAGGGUGGGAGAGGUAAGCGGAAUUCCUGGUGUAGCGGUGAAAUGCGUAGAUAUCAGGAGGAACACCUGUGGUGUAGACGGCUUACUGGACCACUUCUGACGCUGAGACACGAAAGCGUGGGUAGCAAACAGG